rnacentral:lncRNA from 1 species
UGCUGCCUGGGACAGCAGAGCAAGCUUCCUAGAAGAAGGGAGCCUUAAGUUGGAUCUUGAGGCACAGGAGUUCAUGAGAACAGGAAGGGCCAGAGGCAUUCCCGACACACAACAAAGAGGUCCAUGGUUUCGAAGCCUGUCAUCCGGAUGACAUAGCAAACGCUGAGGAGCAUUCCAACAAGGCAAGCCCCAAAACACAAGCACUUAUCAAGACUCUGCUGGCUUCAUGUUUGCUCAUCUUCGACUGGCCAAAGCAAGUCACAUGGUCAAGCCCAGAAUCAAUGUGACAGGAGCAGGAAACUGCAUGACUGCCCAGAGGAAUGAUUCAAUGGGGAACAUUACUUAUCCAUGUAAAACACAAGUUUAAGAGAUAGGCGGAAAAAAUAAUAAAGGGAGAUAUCCAAAGAGAAGCCAUUGAAGAAAACUCACGAAGAUCAGUCGGAAAGGAAAAGUAAGACAUCAAGGGAGAAGAGUUUCCAGAAAGAAGGGGCAACGGUGUCAAAUGUCACAGAGAGAACAAGUAGGGAAGGAAUGAACAGUGGUUAUUGGAUUUGCUCUUUGUUAACCUUUUCAGUUUCAAGUGUUGAGGGUCAAAGCUGGGACGCACAGGCAGUUAAUCAUCAACUGAGAUUGAAAUGUUCAUGGAUGGUCAAGAGUUUUGAGGAAAGUGUUCAAGUUUUGGAAUAGUCCCCCUGAGGAAGAAAGAAGCUGCAAAAAGAAAGUGAAAGAACUCACACUGAGUCCUGAGACUCCUGGAGUCCUAAGCUGAGAUUGUAGCAGCACUAAGUCAUUAUGCGACUUUCUUUCUUUUUUUCUUUUUGAGGAAGAUUAGCCCUGAGCUAACAUUGGCCGCCAAUCCUCCUCCUUCUGCUGAGGAAGACUGGCCCUGAGCUAACAUCUGUGCCCAUCUUCCUCUACUUUAUAUGUGGGACGCCUGCCAUAGUGUGGCUUCAAAGCAGUGCGUAGGUCCACACCCGGGAUCCAAACCCCAGGCUGCUGAAGCAGAAUGUGCAAACUUAACCGCUGUGUCACUGGGCCGGCCCGUUAUGCAACUUUCUUAAGUGAUGUUCACCCCUGGGAAAAAGGGGUACAAAUGGUGAAUUACCAGAUUCACCCAGGGGAGUCAUUCACUUCUGGGGAGACACAGAAGCAUCGUUGGCCAGGGACCAGGCAAGAUCAGGCUGUGUUGUUACCUGGAGCCACGAAGUAGCCACAAUCACAGGUUCUUUAUUUAAAUGCAGGACAUGAGUUGUAUGUGGAUAUAACAUGAUAUAUAGAGAUUUCUGGCCAUCUUACAUCCUUUUUUUUUUUUGGAAAUAAAUAUGUCAGCAACAAGAAAGAAGUAACUAAGCAUGUCUCCUGUUCCUUCUAUUCCAUUAGAUCCCUAGGUGGCUGGUUGGCUCAUUUGGUUGGAUUCCCGAGUUAACCAGGCCAAGGCUUUGGGUGCUGUUUUUCUUCUG